AACGCACAUUGCGCCCCUUGGUAUUCCGGGGGGCACGCCUGUUCGAGCGCCAUUUCAACCCUCGAGCCCCGCUCGGUGAUGGGCCCCGUCUUCGCGGACGGGCCCUAAACCUGUGGGCGCCGACGUCCGGUCCUGAGCGUAGCAAGAGAAAUCCCUCGCUCGGGCGCCGUCCGCCGGUCGCCCCGACCCAAAAUCACAAGGUUGGCCUCGGAUCAGGCGGGAAUACCCGCUGAACUUAA
rnacentral:misc_RNA from 2 species